rnacentral:rRNA from 1 species
GACGAACGCUGGCGGCGUGCUUAACACAUGCAAGUCGAACGGAAAGGCCCUGCUUUUGUGGGGUGCUCGAGUGGCGAACGGGUGAGUAACACGUGAGUAACCUGCCCUUGACUUUGGGAUAACUUCAGGAAACUGGGGCUAAUACCGGAUAGGAGCUCCUGCUGCAUGGUGGGGGUUGGAAAGUUUCGGCGGUUGGGGAUGUACUCGCGGCUUAUCAGCUUGUUGGUGGGGUAGUGGCGUACCAAGGCUUUGACGGGUAGCCGGCCUGAGAGGGGGACCGGCCACAUGGGGCCUGAGAGAGGGCCCAGAAUGCAACGGGAGGCAGCGGUGGGGAACAUUGCACAAUGGGCGGAAGCCUGAUGCAGAAACGCCGCGUGCGGGAUGCCGGCUUUCGGGUUGUAAACCGCUUUCGCCUGUGACGAAGCGUGAGUGACGGUAAUGGGUAAAGAAGCACCGGCUAACUACGUG